GCCUAGCACCCUGGGUGGGGAGGAGCAGGCAGCUAGCUGGAGCCUCUGGCCCUUUUAAAAGAGGCCCCAUUCCCUGGGCCUCGAAGUCCUGGCCGCUUUUUCCUCCAUCCCGGGGUUUUCUGACAAAAGGGGAGCAUGCUAGUGUUUGAAAUGGCCUCACCUCUUGCUAUUUUUGCAGGAAGCCUGAACGCAGUUGUUAAAAAUAGAAAUAAUGAAAGAAAGCAGCAGCUUCUGCCCUUGAGUCCUGAGGCCAGGACAGGACUCCCAGGAUCCUCUCCGGGAUUGUGAUGAUAAAUGAUCAUUGGGCUGCAUUUGUCCUUAGCUAAUUUAUCCUUGGCCUAGAGAGAAAGUUUCUGCCUUUUUUUUUUUUUUAAGAGGAAAGCUGGAAAGGUGCUUGAGGCCUAAUAUCUUUGCUUGGUCUUUUUUGGGCACUGGGCCCUGCAUUUUCCACCUGGCAAUGCUGUGUGGGGCUUGUUCCAGGCGCUCUGUGGGCCUCAUGCCGCCUGUGCUGGCUGUGUGGGGUGCUUUGGAGAUGGGGGUGUGUUUAGAUUUUGUCUCUUCCGUGUUAUUCCCAUGGCAGGCUCUGCACCAGUCCCCGGCGCUGCCUGCGGCAUCUGAUUCUGCCGGCGCUGUCCGCUUAGCUUAUGGGUACGCAGAAGAUCUGCAUCAUGGUUCCUGCUGAAGAAGGGAGUAUGUGGCUGUGUGUGUGUGGCUGUGUGUGUGUGUGUGUGCACAGGCAUGCGCACACCUGUGUUUACAUGAACACAUAUGAAUACAGUGUAUGUGUAUACACACAAACAUGUGUGUGCAUGUGAGGU
rnacentral:lncRNA from 1 species